rnacentral:lncRNA from 1 species
CUAAUUUUGAUUGAUCUUUCUUUUGCUAUGAUUGUUUUUUAAAGUUCCUGUCUUUGAGAGAUGAAAACUUACCCAAACAUCACCUCAUUUAUAGACCAAAGGGGAUGUCUGAGAUUUACCUCGAAUUUAGAGCUAGACCAGAAAGGAUUGAGCACAGCUGGAUAUUCAUUAAUGACAGGGUGAACAGCAGGAACGAGAUGUGUGCCGGCCUGUGAGUGUGGUGUGUGGGAAGGACGAGACCAGACAACGUGCACAGCCCCAUCAGGGUGG